GAUGAACGCUGGCGGCGCGCCUAACACAUGCAAGUCGAACGGCACCCACCUCCGGGUGGAAGCGAGUGGCGAACGGCUGAGUAACACGUGGAGAACCUGCCCCCUCCCCCGGGAUAGCCGCCCGAAAGGACGGGUAAUACCGGAUACCCCGGGGCGCCGCAUGGCCGCCCCGGCUAAGGCCCCGGACGGGAGGGGAUGGCUCCGCGGCCCAUCAGGUAGACGGCGGGGUGACGGCCCACCGUGCCGACAACGGGUAGCCGGGUUGAGAGACCGACCGGCCAGAUUGGGACUGAGACACGGCCCAG
rnacentral:rRNA from 1 species